ensembl:lncRNA
ACCAUGGAGGCCACCACUUUGGUGCUGUUGGUCCUGCUGGACUGUCUCCUUGUGUCGUCCAGCAGACCGUUCCGUAGCUCUUCAGGUGGGCCUCCCAUGGUCUGUAACUUCAUAAAGUCUGAUGCAGAGGAGUUGUGACGUGGGGUAUUUGCACUGUAUUGGGCCACUGGUCGGGCUGAAAGCAGGAGGGGGAGGAGCGUUGUCCAGGUCCGGAUCUAUUUGAACAAAACUCGAUGCAGAUGGGUUAUCUCUCUCCCCACCCCUUUCCUUAUCUUGUCUUGCCUUACGUUCUCAUCUAUCUCUUCUCCUUCCAUAACACAUACUUCUUCCAAUCUCUCUCAUACGUUCAUUAAUUCACCUUGUUGCCAUUUGGCCAUAAAACAUUAACAAAAUAUCAUAAUAUAAAAAUCUGCAUUUUCAAUAUUAGGCAAUACACUUCUGUUGUCAGUCGGGGGUCAGUCGGGGUUAGUCUGGGUCAGUUGGAGUCAUGUCAUGGUUGUGUGAUAUGGUUGACCAUUAAACUGGUUGUGAUAGAUUGUAAUAAUCGAGUAUCCACUGUCUACAAUAGCCCGUUGUUUAAAAUAACCAUAUCUAAUAUUAAAUUUAGCUGAUUAGGUCGCGUAAUGCUGGUGAGAACGAUAUAACAAUCAUUUGGUUGGUUGUGUUAUGUGUUAUGGUGCUCAUACCUGCUCCUUGGACCUGGUCUGCUCCCGCGUCCCGUCAAUGCGAAUGCCCCCUUCCACCUCCGCCUCUUGGAUGAUUCACAGUCACUUCACGGGAAGGUGCGAACUGCCAGCCGGCCCUUCCAUUGUCUUUGUCGAUUCUUUUGGGAGAAUCGUUGAACCAAGGAUCCAUGACGCCACAACGAAAGCAGGCCUGCCUCUGUGCUUCCCCACUUUCCUGUGGUCGUCCUUGCCGUCCGGCGCCUCCACGAACAUUAUAUCAGCUUGGUCUCUCCCGGGAAUGUCGCCUUGAAUACGACCCCACCGUAGGCCCAGUUUGACUUGGCGUGGUUCGCCGAUGGGUGAUGGGCCAUUUCCAGACUGGCUGUAGC